AAGGGUGCGCAGGGGAAUAUUAAGUCAGUGGUGAAUCCUGCAGCUUAACUGGUAGAACUGCCAUUGAUACUGAUAUUCUUGAAUAUAGUUGAGGUGGGCGGAAUGUGUAAUGUAGCGGUGAAAUGCUUAGAUAUUACACAGAACACCAAUUGCGAAGGCAGCUCACUAAACUAAUAUUGACGCUGAGGCACGAAAGCGUGGGUAGCAAACAGGAUUAGAUACCCUGGUAGUCCACGCUGUAAACUAUGAUCACUCGCUGUUGGCAAUACAUCGUCAGCGGCUGAGCGAAAGCAUUAAGUGAUCCACCUGGGGAGUACGGUCGCAAGAUUGAAACUCAAAGGAAUUGACGGGGGCCCGCACAAGCGGAGGAACAUGUGGUUUAAUUCGAUGAUACGCGAGGAACCUUACCUGGGCUUAAAUGCAGAGCGACGUCCGCCGAAAGGUGGAUUCCUUCGGGCGAUCUGCAAGGUGCUGCAUGGUUGUCGUCAGCUCGUGCCGUGAGGUGUCGGGUUAAGUCCCAUAACGAGCGCAACCCUUAUCGUUAGUUGCCAGCGGGUAAUGCCGGGGACUCUAACGAAACUGCCGGUGUAAACCGUGAGGAAGGUGGGGAUGACGUCAAAUCAGCACGGCCCUUAUGUCCAGGGCUACACACGUGUUACAAUGGUCGGUACAGAGGGCAGCUACCACGCGAGUGGAUGCUAAUCUCGAAAACCGGUCUCAGUUCGGAUUGAAGUCUGCAACUCGACUUCAUGAAGCUGGAUUCGCUAGUAAUCGCGCAUCAGCCAUGGCGCGGUGAAUACGUUCCCGGGCAU
rnacentral:rRNA from 1 species